rnacentral:tRNA from 1 species
UAAAACAUGGCCGAGUGGUCAAGGCAAUUGACUUACAAUGCAUUUCCCGUGUGAGGGCGUAGGUUCGAACCCUACAAUCUUCC